UGGCGUACCGUGGGGUUUCAGUCAGGGCCUUCAGGCCAGCAGAGAAGGCCCUGCUGCCCCUGAAGGCCCACCACUGCUGUCAGACAACAUCUCCAAGAUGCUAUAAACCGCAGGACUAGAUGCCCAUCCCAAGGUUACUAGAGAUUACGCCAGCUCCAGACUGAAUCCAAACUCACUUCAGAUGACGCCAACGCUCACAAAGACUACAAAUGACGGCAACUGUACAUGGACACACAAAACACAUAUCAUCCUUAUAUUGCCUAUAAGGGUAAGCUUGACGAUUUUCAACCCGCUGUGUAUUAUUGCAACAUCUCUAAUAUCUGUAAAUGAACAAUAUUUACUCUUUC